rnacentral:rRNA from 1 species
CGCGGCCUAUCAGCUUGUUGGUGGGGUAACGGCUCACCAAGGCAUCGACGGGUAGCUGGUCUGAGAGGACGAUCAGCCACACUGGGACUGAGACACGGCCCAGACUCCUGCGGGAGGCAACAGUGGGGAAUAUUGCGCAAUGGGCGAAAGCCUGACGCAGCAACGCCGCGUGGGGGAUGAAGGCCUUCGGGUUGUAAACCCCUUUCAGCAGGGACGAAAUUGACGGUACCUGCAGAAGAAGCGCCGGCCAACUACGUGCCAGCAGCCGCGGUGACACGUAGGGGGCGAGCGUUGUCCGGAUUCAUUGGGCGUAAAGGGCUCGUAGGCGGUUUAGUAAGUCAGGUGUGAAAACUUGGGGCUCAACUCUGAGACUGCACUCGAUACUGCCAUGACUAGAGUCCGGUAGAGGAGUGUGGAAUUCCUGGUGUAGCGGUGAAAUGCGCAGAUAUCAGGAGGAACACCGAUAGCGAAGGCAGCACUCUGGGCCGGUACUGACGCUCAGGAGCGAAAGCGUGGGUAGCAAACAGGAUUAGAUACCCUGGUAGUCCACGCCGUAAACGUUGGGCACUAGGUGUGGGUCCCAUCCAACGGGAUCUGUGCCGCAGCUAACGCAUUAAGUGCCCCGCCUGGGGAGUACGG